rnacentral:rRNA from 1 species
CGCUGGCGGCACGCCUAACACAUGCAAGUCGAACGAAGUAGCAAUACUUAGUGGCAGACGGGUGAGUAACAUGUAGGUAUCUGCCCUUUGGCCUGGAAUAACACGAGGAAACUUGUGCUAAUACCGGAUAAGUCUUUACGGAGAAAGCUUUAUGCACCAUUGGAUGAGCCUGCACUUGAUUAGUUUGUUGGUGGGGUAAUGGCCUACCAAGACUGUGAUCAAUAGCUGAUUUGAGAGGAUGAUCAGCCACAUUGGGACUGAGACACGGCCCAAACUCCUACGGGAGGCAGCAGUGGGGAAUCUUGCACAAUGGAGGAAACUCUGAUGCAGCGAUGCCGCGUGAGUGAAGAAGGCCCUUGGGUUGUAAAGCUCUUUCGUCGGGGAAGAAAAUGACUGUACCCGAAUAAGAAGGUCCGGCUAACUUCGUGCCAGCAGCCGCGGUAAUACGAAGGGACCUAGCGUAGUUCGGAAUUACUGGGCUUAAAGAGUUCGUAGGUGGUUGAAAAAGUUAGUGGUGAAAUCCCAGAGCUUAACUCUGGAACUGCCAUUAAAACUUUUCAGCUAGAGUAUGAUAGAGGAAAGCAGAAUUUCUAGUGUAGAGGUGAAAUUCGUAGAUAUUAGAAAGAAUACCAAUUGCGAAGGCAGCUUUCUGGAUCAUUACUGACACUGAGGAACGAAAGCAUGGGUAGCGAAGAGGAUUAGAUACCCUCGUAGUCCAUGCCGUAAACGAUGUGUGUUAGACGUUGGAAAUUUAUUUUCAGUGUCGCAGGGAAACCGAUAAACACACCGCCUGGGGAGUACGACC